rnacentral:rRNA from 1 species
UCUACGGGAGGCAGCAGUGGGGAAUAUUGGACAAUGGGCGAAAGCCUGAUCCAGCCAUGCCGCGUGUGUGAAGAAGGCCUUCGGGUUGUAAAGCACUUUCAGUGGGGAAGAAAGCCUUGGGGCUAAUACCCUCGAGGAAGGACAUCACCCACGGAAGAAGCACCGGCUAACUCCGUGCCAGCAGCCGCGGUAAUACGGAGGGUGCGAGCGUUAAUCGGAAUUACUGGGCGUAAAGCGCGCGUAGGCGGUCUGAUAAGCCGGUUGUGAAAGCCCCGGGCUCAACCUGGGAACGGCAUCCGGAACUGUCAGGCUAGAGUGCAGGAGAGGAAGGUAGAAUUCCCGGUGUAGCGGUGAAAUGCGUAGAGAUCGGGAGGAAUACCAGUGGCGAAGGCGGCCUUCUGGACUGACACUGACGCUGAGGUGCGAAAGCGUGGGUAGCAAACAGGAUUAGAUACCCCUGUAGUC